rnacentral:rRNA from 1 species
CACAAGCGGUGGAGUAUGUUGGUUUAAUUCGAUGCAACGCGAAGACUUACCUGGUCUUGACAUCCCGGAGACCCUUAGGAAACUAGGGGGUGCUUCCAUCUGGAAGAAUCUGGAGACAGGUGCUGCAUGGCUGUCGUCAGCUCGUGUCGUGAGAUGUUGGGUUAAGUCCCGCAACGAGCGCAACCCUUGCCUUUAGUUGCCAGCAGUUCGGCUGGGCACUCUAAAGGGACUGCCGGUGUUAAACCGGAGGAAGGUGGGGAUGACGUCAAGUCCUCAUGGCCUUUAUGACCAGGGCUACACACGUACUACAAUGGCCGAUACAAAGGGCAGCGACACUGCGAGGUGAAGCCAAUCCCGUAAAAUCGGUCUCAGUCCGGAUUGGAGUCUGCAACUCGACUCCAUGAAGUUGGAAUCGCUAGUAAUCGUGGAUCAGCAUGCCACGGUGAAUACGUUCCCGGGCCUU